rnacentral:misc_RNA from 1 species
CCCAUGUCGAGUCGAGCGCGAGAGACAGGAGCGUAAGCUUGUCCGCGAUCGUUUGUCCGCGUUCGACAGGUCUUUCAAAUAUCGUGUGUGCAAUCAUUAAACGGUAUAUCUAAAGAUAAUCAUAUUUAUAUAAUCAGUUUUCGAAAUAAAAAUUUGGGAAGACUUGGGAAGUGAAGACUGCGAAGGAACUAUAGUUAAUACAGGCUUGUGUGUGGGCAUAUAAUAGCCGAUCGGGCAUACUGGUGACACGAUUGCGGAUUUUCCUUCAGCAAGAAAGAACAUACGAAGCUCGCAAAGUGCAUGUGCUAGUGUGCGUGUCACUGGAAAGAGUUCAGAGCCGCUUCGGCGGCGCUCCCAAAUCUAACCGCAGAAUCGAGUCUGUGGUGGUGAGGCCGCGGCACUAUCGGGGCACGAUUGAGUACGAUCACGAUCGCACGCGGCGGGGCCGUUUGUAAUGGAGGAGGUUUCCGAGUGUAUUCCCGUGCGACAGAACAGUCACGGCGAUGCACGCCGUAUUGACUGAGACGCGAUAUCUAUCGUUGACUAUUCCUCCCGGCCGGCCGGGUGAAAGAGGCAGGUCGAAAUUGGUAUGGAAUCGUCCAGGGUCCUCGACACGACGAACACUCUCUCCCGUCUGUGAUAAUUACUAGCCCCUUAAAAAGAGAUAGAAGAAGGGAAAAAGAGAGAGAUAGAGCUGUGUGUGUUUCGCGCGUGUUCUCAUCUGCUCUCUUCAUUACGUUUUUAAGUGUAAACAUUUCCCAAAAUUCAUUUCGAGGUUAGGAUAGCAUGGGGAUUGAUCCCCUGAAGGCAUCGACCGACAAACCGUGACACCUGCGACUCGCCGUGUUACGGUGUGUGCGUGUGUGUGCGUGCAUAUGUGUAUUCUCCCAGGAAGCCGCUGGAGUAUUAUUUUUCAUCGGCGGCCAUCCAAGGGAAGACCAAAGAAGAAAAUAUGUCAAGAAUGGGGAUCGAUCCCCAAUUAAAUGCCGUGCAUCGUUUACAUCAUUAAUUCGAUCCGGGACUAAUAUUGGCAAUUUUUUAUCAUACAAUCGAUCCUUUCUGUCACGUUAAACAGACUGUCGCGGAUUAUUCUGCCACGACAGAGGACACUCGCACCAUGCAGAAAAGAGACGGUAGAGAUACACAGCUACAGCUCGCGCGUAGCUCUGAACGCGAACAGGAAACGACCAAGAGGAUCUCUCGUGGUAGCGGUAAUGCUACCAGAUUCAACGCGUAUUCCUCCAGGUACAGUGUCACCUCCUCCUCUAAUGUACUCAUGGUCGGUCCGAACUUCCGUGUUGGCAAGAAAAUUGGCUCUGGCAACUUUGGAGAACUUCGACUUGGAAAGAACCUCUACAAUAACGAGCAUGUAGCAAUUAAAUUGGAACCAAUGAGGUCAAAGGCGCCGCAGCUACACUUAGAAUAUAGGUUUUACAAAUUAUUAGGAACUAGUGAGGGUGUACCAGAGGUGUAUUACUUCGGUCCUUGCGGGAAGUACAACGCUCUCGUGAUGGAACUUCUCGGACCAAGUCUGGAGGAUCUGUUCGAUCUCUGCGGUAGGAGGUUUACCCUAAAGACCGUUCUCAAAAUCGCCACACAGAUCCUCUAUAGGAUAGAAUACGUUCAUAGUCGGCAUUUGAUCUACCGCGAUAUCAAGCCUGAAAACUUCCUGAUAGGACGAUCCACAACGAAACGGGAAAAGAUUAUCCACAUCAUCGAUUUCGGACUGGCCAAAGAGUACAUAGACUUGGAGACGAACAAACACAUACCGUAUCGGGAACACAAAAGCCUGACGGGCACAGCGCGUUACAUGAGCAUCAACACGCACCUUGGAAAAGAGCAGAGCAGAAGAGACGAUCUGGAAGCGUUGGGCAACAUGCUGAUGUAUUUCCUGCGUGGUAGCCUUCCGUGGCAAGGGCUGAAAGCGGACACGCUGAAAGAACGAUAUCAGAAGAUCGGGGAUACGAAGCGGAACACACCGAUCGAGAUUCUUUGCGAUGGGCAUCCCGAAGAAAUGGCUACGUAUUUGCGAUAUGUGCGUAGAUUGGAUUUCUUCGAGACGCCCGACUACGAAUACCUGAGGAAUCUCUUCAACGAUUUGUACGAGAAACGGGGUUUUGUCAACGAUGAAGAAUUCGACUGGACUGGCAAGACGAUGCCACACAACUUCGACCAGCUUAAAACUCUGAAGAUGGCACCUCCCUCUCACAUUGGGAAAACUAAAUCCGAAAAGUCUACACCUGUCGGAUCCUUGCAGACUGGACAAGAGAUUAUUGUAUCUCCAAAUCGUGAUCGGCAUCCGUACAAAGAUGUGACAGAACCAGGGGUGGGAGGCGGGGGCGGUAAAUGGGUGGGAACCUCGAGGACAGAUACUGCGAAGCAAUCAGGAGCUGGUGGUACAUUGACACCCGCUGAUAGGCACGGUUCUGUUCAGGUGGUAUCUUCGACGAAUGGAGAACUAGCCAAUGAUGAUCCUACAGCAGGACAUUCUAAUACGCCAAUUACUGCGCCUCAAGAAGUAGACAUGGUCGACGAAACGAAUGUUUGGUUUAUUUGCAGAUGCUGUUGUUUCUUCAAACGGAAGAAGAAGAAAAGUGGAAGACAAAAGUGACUGUCUGUUAUCGUCAGUCUUGGGGGGGACAAUACAGUGCGCGUGUAACAGAAGUGCAGAUGAAGUUUUUUUUUUUGGAGAAUGUGUUGCGGCAGUGCGUGAAAGGACCAUGGACAAGAAAAGAUGCAGCCGAUCCGCAAUAGGGGAGGCCGUUACCUUGCUACGUGCCGGAAGUCGAUCCGCUUCUCAAGAUUCGGUGCUGCACAUCAUCGUCACGAUGUCACGCCUCCGUCGUUAUCAAAUUAAACCACAGCCAUCAUUAUUAUCGCUAUUAUUACUACUAUUAUUAUCAUUAUUAUUAUCACGAUUAACUUUGCUCUUCUUCUUUUUCUUCUUACGAUUAUUAUUACGAUCACUAUUAUAAUAUUAUAUUAUUACUAUAUUAUUUUAUUAUUUUAUUAUUAUUAUUAUUAUUAUUAUUAUUAUUAUCGUUUAUGAUUAUCAUCGUCAUUUCGUGUACGAUCAUCGUUCAAAUGAAAGAAAAGAACAUCGUUUGUCAAUGUCGAUGUUAGCGAAUAUAUUGUAAACUUGUGACUGAAGAUAGUCGAGCCGUUGAUUUUCGAUCGUUUAAUACCGGCAAAUUGGUCUGCCCACGUAACACGCAUAUGCAAGAGAGUAAGGAAUUGACGUACGGAUGGCGAAAGAACGUGUUUGUGCCUCUCAUCUUGUUCCGCGGUGGCGCGCUUUUCAACACGUCAUCAUUGCGAAAUGUGUUACGAUAUAUGUGUAUUAAAUCGUAAAAGAAUUGAAGCUGAAGAUCUCAUUUUACUCAAAGUCCCGGAUAACGAGCGUAGCGUACUCCUGCUUGUAUCGAAGUUUAUAACACUUAUGAAGUCUGAUCGACUGGAAAGGCAUGAAACUGAAAGAGUAAACACGUUCGCGUCUGCUUAACUCGUGUCAGUUUCCAAGCGCGUUUGAUACAAUGGCGUUCUUCAAAUUCGUGAUCGUGUAAGCUGCCUUUCCUUUGUUUUCCUUUCCAAUGACUACGAGAAAUAAACAAUCGAGUCGAAUCGAAAUUCGCAUAACGCGUAGAACGUGUUUUCAGAGUUCUUUCUCUCGUUUUCCAAAUUUUCGAAUAUUUUUUUUUUUUUCUCGUCGUUGUUCCCAUUAAUUAUCUAACGAAUAUUUCUUGUUUAAUGAAAAAUUACCCUUUUACGUUUAUUUUGUACGAUACACGAAGUAUAACAGUAUUAACGCUAUCUAGUAGAUAGCAGCAGAUUCGUGCUAAAUUGCACUUAUCGCGUUUUAGUUAACAAUUUUUAACUAAUUUUAUUUUACGCCUACACUGCCUGUUGUUAUUCUAUAUAAGUAUCACAAUUAUAUAUGAAAUCCUUACACCUACUGUACAUAAAAUGUAUCAAGAAUUACAUAUUUUGCUACGAAGCUGCACAUACUUUGUAUCGAAUAUUUCAGUUAAUCGCAUAUCAUUUAACGAGCUUCGUAGAAAAAAAAACCUCGAAAUGGUUGUUAAUAUAUAUUCUAAAGUGGAAGGAUAAUGCGAUCGCAAUUCUAAAUUGUCCGAUUUCGGUUUCAUGCCUUCCAUGAAUUCAUUAUGUAAAAGCUUAUACGUCGCAGGAAUCAUACAAAUUACAUUUUACAUUACAUAUCGAAACAAAUAAAAGAGAAAUUAAAAAUUUUCGUCUGUAGAGUCUGAUAUCUACCAUGAAAAUUGAAUAGAACGUAGAUCAAGAUAUUAUACACAUGUAUUCGAUAUAAUUGAUCCGUGUUCUAUCAAAACACGAAGAUUCGGGAAACUUUCUUGAAUCGUAUCUUAUCAUCUAGAAAAGGAUCCGUUCAUUUCGGACAAACUUUUUUAUUCUUGAAACACGUGUGUUAAAAAAAAAAAAAAAGAUAAUUAUUAGAAUUGUAACAAAAAAAGAGAACCAAAGUAUGCUUGUAAUUGAAUAUACAUCAAUAUAGAUUUGAUUUUAAAGCAAUAAAAAGAACUUUUACCGUCUCUGUUUAACUCUAUCAAACGGAAUUUCCUUGGAACGAAUCAUUGUUUGCUAGAUCGACGCGAACGAUAUUGAAUUUAAAACCAAAAAAAAAAAAAAAAAAAAAACGAAAAAAAAAUAAAAUAAAAAAAACAAUAUAAAAAUGUACGUGACAUAGAUAUAGAAUAUUGUGCACUUGGGGAGAACUUUGUUCAGGGCUUAUUUAAUAUGUUUGUUCCACGAAGUUAACAAGAAGAAGAGCGUUGCGACGUGAUAUAUUUGAAUCCUCGUGGAUGUUUUGAAAAUUCAUCCAAGCAGUGAAGAGAUACUUAAAUGAAAUGAAAAUGCGCGCGAAGACGAAGGAGAAAAGAAUCUUAUCAGCCUUGCCGAUUAAACGAGCAAGAAUAUAUUAAGAGGCAAUGUAAUUGACAAAUUGUCUGCGCGUGAAGAUGGCGAAUACUAAGAUUAUCGUGUCCGAAGGUCCGAACUUCUACUAGUCUGGCCAACGAUUGCGUACCACUGCCGAGCCAUAUGAUGUACCGUGUUAGUGUACCGUGAGUGCCCGUACACGUUUCAAUAUUUAAUGGCCAAGCACAUCCGACGACGAGACGUUCGAUGUACUUAGAGCGAACGAGAGUGAAAGAGCGAGAAAGAAAAAGCAGGAUUAAAAGAGAGAGUGUAUCAUGAUUUAUAGUAAAAAAAAAAAAAAAAAAAAAAA